rnacentral:tRNA from 1 species
GCGGCGGUGGUGGAACCGGCAGACACGUACGUUUGAGGGGCGUAUGCUGAGAGGCGUGAGGGUUCAAGUCCCUCCCGCCGCACCA